GCUGCUGCGCUGGAUUUUUGUCUGACAACAAAGCAAUACAUUCACUUGAUACAAUGCAUUUCUCUCUGCUCUGGAAAAGCACACUGAUUAUUCAUGAGUAAAGUAUGGACUUACAAUGAAAAGGAGCAUUUUGAACUAUGGACUGAGGACCUUCCAAUCUUUUGGACGUUACCAGAGAGACUUUACAAGCUAACAGACUAUUCCAUCAGUGCUACAAACCAGAACGUAGAUAGAAAAGGGACUCCCAUCGUCAUCUGCAGCAGCCUGAUCCUCCAUCCCAUCUGACUCUCGUGGCAUUAAUUUGGAUAGACUAACAUCUUCAGCCCCACCAAAGUGUUCUGAAAGGAAGAGUGGAGGGCAAAUGGAUUCCACUACAAAAGGACUGGAGCUUGGACUCUUAAGUUUAAAAGUUAAGGCUGACAUACCAUCCUUCACACCUACAAGUUGUGCCUUUCUCUGAGAACUAUGUUGAAGCAUUAUGAUAACUGUGAUAUUGUCCUAGAAACAAAGAAAAAGAAAAAAAAUGUGGUCACUGGAAAAUAUUCAAAGCUGAAUCCUGCUAUUUUUAACAAAAAUAUGAAACCGGCUCUCUAUUCUAAUUGAAGUUGUCUGCUAAAAAAUAAAUUAUCUAUGGAGCAGCUGUCUGCUUUCCACAAGGCUGAAGCUACAUUCUGAUUGCAGCUUCAAACACAAGUGGACAAGAGGAAAGGUUGAGGAAUGUCAAGCCAAGGGGAAGAAAGAUGAGAAGUCACUGAAGAUGGACGCAAAGGAAAGGGACUCUGGGCACAGUAACCUGCCUCUAAUGAGGCCUCUGGUCACCUAAUUACACUGUAUGGGGAUCUCGAGCAUUUUAAUCCCUUGAACAGUGUGACCCCCCUGUAAGCAGGGUCCAGGUCUUAUACCUUUUCCCUUUCUUUUUGGAGGGAAGGAAGAUUGGUCAAGUUUAACACUGUGGGUCAAGUGACCUAUUGCAAUCAGCUCUCUUUCUAUUCUGGGAAGUCCCCCUUUGUUUUGUAUGUAUCUGUAUGUGAGUGAACGUGAUACAAAUGGGUGUAAACGUCUAUAUUUAUUUAUUUAUUUAUGUUGAGUUCUUUCAGUUAAAUCACUGCAGUGCUUUUUCUUUACUCUCCUCAGAAUUGGAAAAAGAGCUGAAUGUGUAUUAAUAUGUUAAUCCUCCUCCUCCCCACAAAAGGAAAGAGUAAAAGCUCAGAUAGCAUCUUUUAGUGCAUAGGAGAAUCUCUCUCCACUUCUGCUUUCUUCACGUUCAGUUCCUAUUAGUGGGCGAUGGCAAGGAUUGCCCUUUAAUGAGGGUGAUUUAGGUCAAAGGAAAUACAGGAUCUCCUAGUACCAGGGCAACUUGACCACUCUGUAUACAGGGUUUUGGUCUCUGCCCAUCAUUAUUUUGACAGCACGCCACAUCAGCAGGUUGGUGGGAGUCCUCAUUUUAUAACUGGGGGAGAGACCAAGACGCUGUGUAUUCUGGGGGAUAUAGAUCUCUCUGGAAACCUAAAAAGAGUGACAGCCGUGUAAGCUGGGUCCCGGUCUGUGCCACUGUGUCCUUUUGACAUUCUGCUCCGUUAUCUGGCUAGUGAGAGUGGAUGCCCUGUAAUCAGGGUGCCAGUCACCUCCGCCUGUCUUUGGAGGGGCAUUGAGCUCUUUGUUAAACUGAGCAAUGUGACCGCCCUGUAACUAGGGUCCGGGUCCGGGUCUCUGCCCUCUUGCUCAUUUGGCUUUACGCCAUGCUCUGCCCCACUAGUCAGCGUGACAACCCUGUAAUUAGGGUCCAUGUCACAAGUCUCUCUAGAAUGGGACCUAUCGAGCUCUUUGGUACUUUGACAGCUGGACCUUCCUGUAAUUCAGGUUAUGGUCUCUCCUAUUGGGCUAAUGCCAGCGACCACCCUGUAAUCGGGGUACAAGUUGCAUCUCGCUUUUGAAGUCUGGGGGAUUAGAAACUUUUCAGUAACAUGGGCAGCUUGACCUCCCUGUAACUAGGGUGUGUGUCUCCGAGGCCCUUUGGCUCUCUUGGCCUCGUGCUGUCUUCACAGCCUGCUGCGAACGACCGCCCUGUAAUCAGGGAUCGGGUCUUUGCCCUCUAGUCUCUAGGCACUAGGCCAAAUGCAGCCACUGCCCUGAAUGAGCACCCUGUAAACAGGGUACAGGUCUCAUCAGCUACUAUUUAUGGUGCCCCCAUGAGACUGUGUCCAGACUUCUGGCCCUUUAAGCAGCGCUUCCAACAUGCCUGGAAAUCUGCAGCCAAGUCUCCUGCUUUCUACUCCCUUCUUGGACUCUUGGACAGCUGACAUGCUAUUGGUGCACAAGUGGAGAAGAAGGAAGUGUCAGGAAUGCCACGCACAGAGGAGAUAAGAAGAUGGAGGAAAAGGAAAGGAACUCUGGGCACAGUAACCUCCCUCAAAUCAGGCCUCAGGUCAUGUAAUUAGACUGUAUGGGAAUCUCGAGCCUUUUAAUACCUGGAGCAGCGUGACCACCCUGUAAGCUGGGUCCCGGUCUGUGCCAUUGUGUCCUUUUGACAUUCUGCUCCGUUAUCUGGCUAGUGUGAGUGACUGCCCUGUAAUCAGGGUGCCAGUCACCUCCGCCUGUCUUUGGAGGGGCAUUGAGCUCUUUGUUAAACUGAGCAAUGUGACCGCCCUGUCACUGGGGUCCGGGUCUCUGCCCUCUUGCUCAUUUGGCUUUACGCUGUGCUCUGCCCCAUUAGUCAGCGUGACAACCCUGUAAUUAGGGUCCAUGUCACAAGUCUCUCUAGAAUGGGACCUAUCGAGCUCUUUGGUACUUUGACAGCUGGACCUUCCUGUAUUUCAGGUUAUGGUCUCUCCUAUUGGGCUAAUGCCAGCGACCACCCUGUAAUCGGGGUACAAGUUGCAUCUCGCUUUUGAAAUCUGGGGGAUUAGAAACUUUUCAGUAACAUGGGCAGCUUGACCUGCCUGUAACUAGGGUUUGUGUCUCUGAGGCCCUGAGGGUCUCCGUUAGCUGGUUAGUGAGGUGUGACUGCCCUGUAAUCAGGAUGCCAGUCACCUCCGCCUGUCUUUGGAGGGGCAUUGAGCUCUUUGUUAAACUGAGCAAUGUGACCGCCCUGUCACUGGGGUCCGGGUCUCUGCCCUCUUGCUCAUUUGGCUUUAUGCCGUGCUCUGCCCCACUAGUCAGCGUGACAACCCUGUAAUUAGGGUCUAUGUCACAAGUCUCUCUAGAAUGGGCCCUAUCGAGCUCUCUGGUACUUUGACAGCUUGACCUUCCUGUAAUUCAGGAUAUGGUCCCUGCUCUUUGGCUAAUGCCAGCGACCACCCUGUAAUCAGGGUACAGGUUGCAGCUCGCUCUUAAAAACUGGGAGAUUAGCAUCAUUUCACUAACAUGGGCAGCUUGACCUCCCUGUAACUAGGGUGUGUGUCUCCGAGGCCCUUUGGCUCUCUUGGCCUCGUGCUGUCUUCACAGCCUGCUGCGAACGACCGCCCUGUAAUCAGGGAUCGGGUCUUUGCCCUCUAGUCUCUAGGCACUAGGCCAAAUGCAGCCACUGCCCUGAAUGAGCACCCUGUAAACAGGGUACAGGUCUCAUCAGCUACUAUUUAUGGUGCCCCCAUGAGACUGUGUCCAGACUUCUGGCCCUUUAAGCAGCGCUUCCAACAUGCCUGGAAAUCUGCAGCCAAGUCUCCUGCUUUCUACUCCCUUCUUGGACUCUUGGACAGCUGACAUGCUAUUGGUGCACAAGUGGAGAAGAAGGAAGUGUCAGGAAUGCCACGCACAGAGGAGAUAAGAAGAUGGAGGAAAAGGAAAGGAACUCUGGGCACAGUAACCUCCCUCAAAUCAGGCCUCAGGUCAUGUAAUUAGACUGUAUGGGAAUCUCGAGCCUUUUAAUACCUGGAGCAGCGUGACCGCCCUGUAAGCUGGGUCCCGGUCUGUGCCAUUGUGUCCUUUUGACAUUCUGCUCCGUUAUCUGGCUAGUGUGAGUGACUGCCCUGUAAUCAGGGUGCCAGUCACCUCCGCCUGUCUUUGGAGGGGC